UACAGAGGGGGCAAGCGUUGUUCGGAAUUACUGGGCGUAAAGGGCGCGUAGGCGGCCUUCUAAGUCAGACGUGAAAUCCCUCGGCUCAACCGGGGAACUGCGUCUGAGACUGGAAGGCUUGAAUCCGGGAGAGGGAUGCGGAAUUCCAGGUGUAGCGGUGAAAUGCGUAGAUAUCUGGAGGAACACCGGUGGCGAAGGCGGCACCCUGGACCGGUAUUGACACUGAGGCGCGAAAGCCAGGGGAGCAAACGGG
rnacentral:rRNA from 1 species